AUACUUACCUGGCGUAGAGGUCAACCGUGAUCACGAAGGCGGUUCCUCCGGAGUGAGACUUGGCCAUUGCACCCCGGCUGAGUUGACCUCUGCGAUUAUUCCUAAUGUGAAUAACUCGUGCGUGCUAUUUUUGGUAGCCGGGAAUGGCGUUCGCGCCGUCCCGA
rnacentral:snRNA from 2 species